CAGAGCAAUGGCGACGGUGGAUGCCGCGGGCGGCGGCUUCGAGUUUUUGUCAGAUCCGGUUGACAGGUAACUUCGUUAUUUUAGGAUUUUGACUCCUCUUACUGUCCGCUUUCAGUAUGACUGAGGGAUUCAUCGCGGAUCUGUCUGUGCGGCCGACUGUCCUAUCGCCGCUCCUCUUCAAAGUCUCUCUUGCCGGAGCUUGGCGGCGGUGAGGAUGUACUCGACACUGCAACCACCUAAACGCUCGUGGGCACAGCCGCACAGUCGAGCCUUGCUGACAUAGGCGAUGCGACGAUGACGAUACAACUAGAUGUGAACAGCAGCUGCGAAGGGCUCAACUUACCGGCGUCAACCUCAGAGCAGUCGGCCGGCAAAGACGACCCCCAAGCCCCUGGCUGGACAAAAAGAGUACGUACUGGCCGAGCACCUCUUUGAGCGUCCUCCAUGUGCUAGCAGAAUAAGCGCACUUCAAAAAACACUGAGAUGCUACGCAGAGAAGAAGAGGGAAACGGUUGUAAUACCUGUUGUCGGAGACAGAUUUGAUUCACUUGGAGAAGCGUACGACUACUACAAUCUGUAUUUUUGGGAAAUUGGCUUUGGUGUUGGAUACGGAAAAAGCAGAUUAAACGUGGAGAGAACAAAAUGUAUGCAAGAAAUAGUUUGCGGCUGCUCGGGCGUACCAACAAGAAGUAACACAAGGUCUUGCCGAUGCAGAUGUCCAGCAAUGAUAAGGUUGCUACGCUCAAAGAACAACGGAUGGUACAUAAGCGAGCACAGGGAAUUCCACAACCACUCUCUUAUAGAUAAGUGUGGCCAGAAAAUAUAUUAGCCCUCGCAUAGACAUAUCGACAUCUAUACACAAGAUGUUAUCAAGCAGCUUUGUGCAAAUAAUAUUAGCAUUGGCAAAGUCUACAACAUAAUUGGCAGUUUCUUUGGCUCCAUGAGCAGUGUUCCUUUCAGCAAGAGAGCUUUGAGGGGCCUUUGUGGACAGAUAAGCCGGGAUCAGGCAGAUGAUGACGUUAGAAAGACAAUGGAAGUUUUUGCUGAAUUGGGAUCCAAAGAUUCUGGGUUGUACUACAGAGUACAACCAGAUACGGACGGUCACAUACGAAAUCUGUUACGGUCGACAGGCGCAAGCAGGGCACAGUACCAUUAUUUUGGAGAUGCGAUAACUUUUGAUACGACAUACCGUACAGACAUGUAUGAUAUGCCAUUUGGGUUGUUUGUUGGGGUCAACAGUCAUUUCCAAAGUGUCAUAUUCGGAGGAGUUUUAGUCAGAGAUGAGACAAUGGAAACAUUUGAACGGGUGUUCAUUAAGUUUAUCUGUAUGAUGGGCGGCAAGCAAGCAUCCUCAAACCAUACUAACAGACCAGUGCAGAGCUAUGGAAAUAGCAAUAGAGAAAGUGAUGCCCAACACAACACAUCGCUGGUGUAAGUGGCACAUCUUAAAAAAGGCAAGAAUCUCUUGGAGCACAUUACACAAAGAGGAGCAAGUUCCGAAUGGAAUUCCACAAGAUAAUACACAACAUGGAAGCAACUGACGGAAACACACGGUUUGCAGAAGCACCCUUACUUGACUCAGAUCUAUGAGACAAGAGAAAAAUGGGCAAAACCAUACUUCAAUGGCAAAUUCUGUGCAAAAAUGACCAGCACACAACGCAGCGUGAGUGCAAACCAUAUAAUCAAAACCUAUGUUCCAGCAAGCUGCCCCAUGCACCUAUUCGUGCGGCAAUAUAUGAGGCUUCUUUUCGAUAGAGAAGCAGCUGAGAACUACGAGGAAAGGCACACUAUGAUAAAUGCACCAUUGUGAGGAUGAACAUACCACUCGAGCAGCAUGCUAGCGAUGUAUACACCCGAGCUAUGUUUGAGAAAUUUGGUGAAGUACUGUAUGAAGCAGGGCAAUACAAGAUAGAGGAGGUAAGCAGAUGGAAAUCAUAUCUAGCACGAAGACACCACCCAGAAAGGCAUGAAAAAUGGUGCAGAAUAGUCUACAAAGGUUGAGGUUAUUGAUGAUGGCGCAGCGAUACUGUGCGAGUGUGGUAAUUUUGAACACACAUGCUUGCUUUCCUGCCACGCAUUGAAGGUCCUUGAUGUCCUUGGAAUGGAUCAGAUACCAGCAAAGCACAUUCUGAAACGCUGGACAAAGGAUGCAAGGGAUGUGUUGCCAGAUCAUCUUGCGCACCUUCAGAAAGAUAGGAUUAAUGUCAACUCUAUAACAUUCAAGCACUCGAAUUUAUACACUCAUGCACUUGAAGUUGUCCAUCUUGGUGAUGCCAACACAUCGACUUAUGAAUGUGCAAUGGAAAUGCUGAAGAAAGAAAUGGAUACACUGACGCCCAUGGCCAGCGUCCGCAUCGGGAUGGGGCUUGAAGACAGAAUUCAUUCAGAUAAGGGAAAAGACAAGGAGCUGAUUCCAAUGCAUGCAGCAGAAAGUCAUGAAGAGAGCAAUGCUGAAGGUAGUGUUGUUGGAAAUUUCAUCGGCUUAAAGCCUCCAGAACGAAAGCAUAAACCAGGAAGACCUACUACCAGCAGGGACAAGCCUCCAUAUGAUGAUCGAUGUGCAAAAAGCAAAAGAUUCAAGGACGCAACAAAUGGAAAAGCUCAUGAUGGUUCUGGCACAAGCAAACGUACUCGUUUCUGCAGUAUAUGCCGUGGAGCAGGGCACAAGAGUACUACAUGUUCGCAGAGGGGUGAUCUCCCUCGCAAAGACAGGAAAGAGGCCAAAUGUUCAAACUGCGGUGGUGGUGGACACAAGAAGAACAUCUGCAACAAACCUAAAGUAGUGAUGCAUGUUGUUGAAAAUGCAACUUUGGAGCAGAUUUCCAUCUAGAAAAAACUGAUUUCUGUUGCGUUGUCAUCGGCUCCGUAGGCGUAAUAGUUCUGUAGCGUCUAGUAAUGUUGAGGGCUGCAUAGCCAUGAAUCAGUAAAACUAUUUCAAUAAUCCUGACCGGCACUUAUCAAGGUCAGCAGUGUUGUUCAUGACUUUCUGUAUCUCUCUCUCCCGCAUAUAACAUGGCCAUUUCCAUGGGUUAAAUCCUUGCAUCAGCUCUGUCAAUUGCCGAUGCUCUUCUGUAUUUCAUUCGAAAAUUAAAGGGAAAAAACCCUUUCCAUUC